CACAGAGUAGAAACUGUUUCGUGAAGUGUUCUUUGAACGGGGAGUUGUCAAAGAAACGAAAGGAUUACCUGCGGUUACAGUUUCGCAUCCCGCUGUU
rfam:Eubacterium sp. CAG:581 genomic scaffold, scf310